rnacentral:RNase_P_RNA from 1 species
UGAGUCGGGUGGGCGGUCGCGAGACGUACGCGUCUCGAGGAACGUCCGGACUCCACAGAGCAGGGUGGUUGCUAACGGCAACCUGGGGCGACCCACGGGACAGUGCCACAGAAAACAGACCGCCCGCGCUUCGGCGCGGGUAAGGGUGAAACGGCGGUGUAAGAGACCACCAGCGCCGCGGGUGACCGUGGCGGCUUGGUAAACCCCACCCGGAGCAAGGUCGAGAGGUACGACGGUUCGCCGUCGUACUGCACCAGCGAUCGAGGGCUGCUCGCCCGAGCUGGUGGGUAGACCGCUUGAGCCCGUCGGCGACGACGGGCCUAGAUGGAUGGCCGCCCAUCGCGCACCGGCGACGGUGCGCGGGGACAGGAUCCGGCGUACAGCCCGACUCAUCCG